UCACCAUACGAUCAGUCUGUGCUCUCGCCGCCAUACUUCGCGCACAAACGUAAGCGUAUCGUUUCCGGUUCAUCAACAUGACAAGGACGGAACUGUCGAGCAGCAGCAGUUGUGCUGUAGUGUUGCUAUUCUGUCACCCUCAUCAACAUCGCCCAGAGCACACUAGCCGCAGUAAACUAAAGUAAGGCAACACUAUAAGGUCAACAUUAGCUACCGCAUGCUAAUGAUAAGAGUGCACACACCAAAGCACACACACGCCUAUGAUGUGGACACGAUGCUAUCGCCGUCCACCACGAGGUGUAGUGCGCUUUCGUAAACGGCUCGCGAUCCGGACCCGGAUUGUCCACCGGGCAUCGUAUUGCGGGUGUGUUGGCUCUGCCACCUCUUCCUACCCUCCAUCCCUCCAACAUCGAAUGGGCAAGAUUGUGCCGGAAACGCAGCAACCCCAAAACGGAAGGUGCUAAAAUAACGAACGAAAUCACAGCAAUUGCUUAUGCAGAAUCAAUAACAACCGAACCUUCACUUCCAUUUUCACCCCAACAGGAAAAAUCCUACCAACCACCACCAUCAAAGCCAGCAAAAAAAAAAAAAAGAAGAAGCACGAGAGCACAGUGGAACUAGAGCACACAGGGAAUGUGCGUUAUUACCGGGCUGGUCGUCAGCCCACCUCUUUUGCCGGCAGCGCGAACAGGUUGUAAAAGCAGAGGUCGCCGCCGAACCGUUCCGGCUGAUUAUAGAAUCGCGCAAAAUAAUCCGCGUGCGCGCACACGGCGUGCCGUAGGUAAUCUUGUUUCGCGGCGGCAUGCGGUCGUUGUUGCUGCCGGUCUUCUCUUACGUUUGCGUACGUCGGAUGGUAGCACGGGCAGGCAGGCAGCUCGCGCAGCACGAGACAAAAUCAACCAACGUCAAGAAGAUUGGGGUAGCAACAGGAAAUACUAUGUAAUGCGCUGACCGGGGUACGGCACCCGAACUGUGUGAAUGAAACCCACCCUCCUCAUGGUCGUUUUUCUGCGCUUUCUUUGAGCGAGAGAUGUGUAGAUAGUCCACUGAGCGAUUUUUUUUUCUGUUAAAUAUAGCUGCGAAAUGUGGGAAGAACACCGA